GAUGAAGAACGUAGCGAAAUGCGAUAAGUAAUGUGAAUUGCAGAAUUCAGUGAAUCAUCGAAUCUUUGAACGCACAUUGCGCCCCCUGGUAUUCCGGGGGGCAUGCCUGUUCGAGCGUCAUUACAACCCUCAAGCUCUGCUUGGUAUUGGGCCCCGCCAGUUCUGGCGGGCCCUAAAGUCAGUGGCGGUGCCUUCCGGCUCCGAGCGUAGUAAUUCUUCUCGCUCUGGAGACCCGGUUGUGUGCUUGCCAACAACCCCCAAUUUUUCUAUGGUUGACCUCGGAUCAGGUAGGGAUACCCGCUGAACUUAAGCAUAUCAAUAAGCGGAGGA
rnacentral:misc_RNA from 1 species